GAUCCUGGCUCAGGAUGAACGUUGGCGGCGUGCCUAAUACAUGCAAGUCGAACGAAGACUGUAGUAAUACUGUCUUAGUGGCGAACGGGUGAGUAACGCGUGGGUGACCUGCCCCGAAGUGUGGGAUAACAGUCCGAAAGGAUUGCUAAUACUGCAUAAUAUCCAAGAGAUUAGACGCUUUUGGAUUAAAGGAGUAAUUCGCUUCGGGAGGGGCCCGCGUCCCAUCAGCUAGUUGGUAAGGUAAUGGCUUACCAAGGCGAUGACGGGUAGGGGGCCUGAGGGGGUGGCCCCCCACAAUGGAACUGAAACACGGUCCAUACACCUACGGGUGGCAGCAGUAGGGAAUAUUAGUAAUGGGCGAAAGCCUGAACUAGCAACGUCGCGUGUGCGAAGAAGGCCUUCGGGUCGUAAAGCACUUUUUGAGAGGAUGAGGAAGGACGGUACUCUCAGAAUAAGUCUCGGCUAACUACGUGCCAGCAGCCGCGGUAACACGUAGGAGGCAAACGUUAUCCGGAUUUACUGGGCGUAAAGCGCGUGUAGGUGGUUUGGUAAGUAGGGCGUGAAAGCUCCUGGCUCAACUGGGAGAGGACGUUCUAAACUGCCAAGCUUGAGGAUGGUAGAGGGAGGUGGAAUUCCGGGUGUAGCGGUGGAAUGCGCAGAUAUCCGGAGGAACACCAGUGGCGAAGGCGGCCUCCUGGACCACUCCUGACACUCAGACGCGAAAGCUAGGGUAGCAAACGGGAUUAGAGACCCCGGUAGUCCUAGCCCUAAACGAUGUAGACUUGGUGUCGGUGGUUUAAUAGCCAUCGGUGUCGUAGCUAACGCGAUAAGUGUACCGCCUGGGG
rnacentral:rRNA from 1 species